AUUGAACGCUGGCGGCAGGCCUAACACAUGCAAGUCGAACGGUAACAGGAAGAAGCUUGCUUCUUUGCUGACGAGUGGCGGACGGGUGAGUAAUGUCUGGGAAACUGCCUGAUGGAGGGGGAUAACCACUGGAAACGGUAGCUAAUACCGCAUAACGUCGCAAGACCAAAGAGGGGGACCUUCGGGCCUCUUGCCAUCGGAUGUGCCCAGAUGGGAUUAGCUAGUAGGUGGGGUAACGGCUCACCUAGGCGACGAUCCCUAGCUGGUCUGAGAGGAUGACCAGCCACACUGGAACUGAGACACGGUCCAGACUCCUACGGGAGGCAGCAGUGGGGAAUAUUGCACAAUGGGCGCAAGCCUGAUGCAGCCAUGCCGCGUGUAUGAAGAAGGCCUUCGGGUUGUAAAGUACUUUCAGCGGGGAGGAAGGGAGUAAAGUUAAUACCUUUACUCAUUGACGUUACCCGCAGAAGAAGCACCGGCUAACUCCGUG
rnacentral:rRNA from 1 species